rnacentral:tRNA from 2 species
GCCGAGGUAGCCUAGCCUGGCCAAGGCGGUAGAUUCGAAAUCUACUGUCCUCACGGACUCGAGGGUUCAAAUCCCUCCCUCGGCG